UAUUCUUAAGAAGGGUGCGUUUUGGCUGCCAGAAACAGAAUAAUCCUGCCUUCAGCUCUGAGAAUUUUGUAGUGCUUCAUUUAUGAAGCUGACAAAGAGAAGGUGGGAGAAAGAGGCACAAAACAACAUUGCUGAAGUUAAAAAGAAAUAACUGCCCAAACCAGCCUCAGCAAAAAAUGAAACACACAGUAUCCUGGGUGUAGGCUUCUGUUACUGAACUAGCUGAGAUCUUCUGACAUAACAAAGCUAAACUAGCUACCUGAUGAAAAAGUUAUAUAUCUAGGACAGCACAAUUGGGAUUGCUUAAUGUACACAAGAGGAAGAAAAUGAUUUUUCUACCAGGAAAGUGAUUUUCUGGAAACUCCAGGUUAGCCAAAUGAAUUUCUAAUGGUUGAAAGGAUCUGUAAUUAAUUCUGGUUAAAGCGUGUUCUUGUUAAUGUAUCUGGUACUUCAUGAGGAUGGAAAAGGGAAGAAUAAGGUCAUUCUUUAUGUGGCCCCACAGUAGCCUAUAAAAUGCAGAAAUGCAGGUUUGAGCUGCCUUAUGGAAAAACAAUAUAUUGUGCUAUAUUCUGCUGUGUGUGUCCCUUAAGCCCUAGAAAGCAGAGAACCUCUUUAAAGCAGUAUUUUCCAUUCCAGCUCAGUUGUACAGUAAGAAUUUACCAGAAUUAACUUGUUUUUACUGUGUGUCGCAUUCCGAAAAAAAUCCCAACCCCUACUUAAUUCAGCUCUUGAAUGUUUUUGAAACACUGACAUUUAAGUGAGAGAGAUGUUUUCUUGCAAGGUGUGUGGGCUUGUGAAGAAUACAUGCCAAGAGUUAACAGACAUGACUCUUGUAGCCUUAGCCAAGAAAUAGGCUGCAGAAUACACUGACUAUAUACAUUCAUUUAGGAAACAUUCUUCUUUAUGCCCAACUAACUGAAAUUAACUUCUCUUGUCAGCUAGUAACAUAGAGGUAUAUUAGACCUUAGAAAAUAAGAAGUACAAGAAGAAGUCUGUUUAAUGUUGGGGGUAAGUACUUAAUAUCAUGCUGAUGAUUUACCUUUAGUUGUUUAUUAUACAAAGUGUGGUGGCUUACAUACAAAUGGAACUAAAAAUUGGUAUUGAAUUGUAGCAUAGAGAGAAGACCAAGUUUGAAAGUAUUUGGACUUGAAAUGUCACUGUUUCCAGAUGCAAAGUUUCAGUAAAUGAAAUAUCUUUCUUUUGUGCAGUCCGGCUGAAGACUGAAAUGUUUUAAUAUUUAAAGUCUCUUUAUAAGCUGAUAAAAAUGUAUGGAACUUCCACAACUAAUAAAACCUGAAGCAUGCCCAUGAAUGGAAAAAAUGAAUCUUGCCAAGUUUGAUCACAACAUGGUCUUUCCAACUGCAGACCAUAUAAACCGAAUAUGUUGCUUGAAAGUUUUGAUAUAUUCUCUUGAUUUUAUUUUUAUGCAUUUUAGCAGCAGUAGCAGCUAAAGGAGCCAAAUGUGUCUUGGGAACUUUGUUGGUUUAGUAUAAGGCAUGAUAGCUCAUCAGUGCAGUGACACUAAACAUGUCCUUAAUUAAAGCAAAAUAGGAUGCUAGAGAUGAACUUAUGGAAGCCUAAUGGCUUUUAAGCACUAUGCCAACUACUGUACAGCAUACAUGUGUUGUGUUUUAUGUGUUUCCCUUUCUUUCUGCAUGUGUAGUUACAUGAGAAGGAAAAGGUGCAAGGCCAGACUCACAGCUUGCUGCUUAUAAUUUGAGUGAUUUGGCAAAGCUGCCA